CUUAGAAGAGACUACAGAAGCAUAAUAACCAAACCUUGAAGAAGGGGUAACAACAUUUAACUUAUCAUGCUAGAAAACCGCAACAAGUAACACAUCAAAUCACCAUAUCAUGCUAGAAAACAUACGUAGUAUGUACAAAAAGAGAGGGUACCGCAUGCGAUCAGAUAUUGUCAAGAAUUUAAACUACAACAUUACGAAGUUAUUCAUAAUUCUAUCAAAAAGUCAUUAUAAGAAAUGAGCUCCUCCAAAACUUAACUUGCAUCCAAUAAGUAGCGAAUCAAAAUUCCACUUGUUCCAUAUCAGCGAAACUUGAAACCUGCAGACCCUUUCAAUGGAUAAUUAAACAUGAGAAUAUGCUCGUACUGGUCAUACACUUUACUAUUGAAAAGAUACAUAGCAAUCAUAAAAUGGAUCUACUUGCUAACACUUGUCUUAUAGUUUCAACCCGCAAUUUCAAAUAAUUUAUAUGACACAAUAGAUUCUUCAACUUUCAAGACAGUAACAUAAUCCUAAACAGAUCAAAGUGAUUAAUGAAUUGUGGCACAAUUUGAAGCAACACAUCCAUUCUUUGUUAUUGAAAAUAAUCUAAUGUUUUGAAGGAUUAACAAUUACAGCUUCUGAAAGCAUAGGCCACAGCCACCCCAGGGGGCAGCAGUCUUUCAUGCGUAAUCAUACAGUAGGAUACUUCAAGAAAUUGCAUUCUUAUAGCAGUUAAUUUCUGGUCUAUAGCAUGAAACUGCAGAAAAAUAAGUGUGUGCCUCCUCUCGAAAUAUACAAAUGCACCUCCGAAUUUCUAUUCCCUAUCAUACCCAUAAAACACAUACAAGCGAGAGAACAUUCAAAUAAAGAGAAAUGAUUGCUGAGAAAAUUCAGAAAAAAUAACGGGUACUGAAACUCACUUACCUGCCUCAACGGUGACCAGCAAGUCUCUCAAAAGUCUUGUUUAAUUGAAGCUAAUUUUAGAAGAACAAAGGACAAUCAAAAUCGUGGUUCACGAUUCCAAUUCCCCUUUCUCUGCUAUCCCUAACCGAAAUGAAAUGAAAUGAAGUACAAAAAUCACAGGAGAGAGAGAGAGACAGUCCCAAUACCUCUUGCUCUCUCACUCUCUCACUCUCUCUUAAACUUGCUCUCUGUGUUCUCGUCUGCGACUUCUAGGGUUAACGGAAAACACAAUACAUUUGUUGCUUAUGUGUUAACUCUUAGUGAAACAGGAGAUAAGAGAAGGAUAUUAAAGUGGAACAAUAGAUUACUAGCAACAAUCCCAGCCUUUUUACUAUAAAUAUAAUUAGAUCAACUAUGAAUAAUAUACAGAAAGUGGUGAUUAUGCUAGCUAAAUAAAUAUAAUUAAAUGCUUACUUCCUCUCUGAGGAAGUCUAGAACUGGUCUAU
rnacentral:lncRNA from 1 species